UACGUAGGUGGCAAGCGUUAUCCGGAAUUAUUGGGCGUAAAGCGCGCGUAGGCGGUUUUUUAAGUCUGAUGUGAAAGCCCACGGCUCAACCGUGGAGGGUCAUUGGAAACUGAAAAACUUGAGUGCAGAAGAGGAAAGUGGAAUUCCAUGUGUAGCGGUGAAAUGCGCAGAGAUAUGGAGGAACUCCAGUGGCGAAGGCGACUUUCUGGUCUGUAACUGACGCUGAUGUGCGAAAGCGUGGGGAUCAAGCAGGAUUAGAU
rnacentral:rRNA from 1 species